CGGAGCGUGACGGCUGCUGCCAGGCGCGCUUUCGCUUUUCAUAAGCAGGUUUGAGCUUUUGUUUCGUUGAGUGCCAAUGUUGCAACGGGAGUGUACUAGAUCAGUCAUGAACUAUGAAGAAGUUUAAAUCUGACCGUGACAUAGGCAGGCAGCCUCAGUGAACUUAUUACCACCAACUAACGAAUGUCAGCCGGGCCAUUGCGUGCCAUCAAAAAUGCAGGGAACAGAAACAUAUUCGAGCUUUAUAUGUCUAAAGAUGGUUACGAUACAAUCAAGAGGAGCUGUGGUAAAGUUCACACAAGGUCUACCUACCCUUGCUAUGUUGCUAAACAUGCUUGGUUGGGAUAUUUGAAUUGUGUUCUCAUGUUAUUGCAAUAUAUUUUGAACCUACUUAUGUUGGGAAACUCAAAAUAAAGCACAAAAUCAUUGUGUUCAAAUUUAAAUAAAUAACUUUUUCUUUUUUAAUUCUGUUGCAUCCAAAACCAGAGUAAUAUGACCAGAUCCCAAUUCAUUGUAAAUUUGAGACAUAAAUUUCUUCAAUAAUCUAUGUGGAGGCUGUAAGUCUACCACAGGGGUGUCAAACUUGUGGGUUUCUGAGGGCCACAUUGCAUUUUGGGAAUUGUGCCAAGGGCCGCAAACAGUUUUUGAUAUAUUUUGAUAAUGUAUACUUGAAGCAUAUUUUUAGAUAGGUGUAGUUUGUGAAAAAUAUUGUGAUCUAACUAAACAGCCGCAUAAAGUUUUGUUAUUCUCUUAAAUUUCAAAUGCCAUUUACAUAUUAAUUUCUUGCAUUUCACUAAUAUUGCUAUCUAUUCAAAUCAAGUUUGUGUAAAUUGUCGUUUUCUGUAUGAAUAAUCACUAACUAACACACAAAACAAACACGCUAACUGACGUACCGUUCUCCGCAACGAGCGUCCCCUCAAACAGCAGAAAAAACGUUGCUGGCAGCAUCGGUC